AUUGAACGCUGGCGGCAGGCCUAACACAUGCAAGUCGAGCGGAUGAAGGGAGCUUGCUCCUGGAUUCAGCGGCGGACGGGUGAGUAAUGCCUAGGAAUCUGCCUGGUAGUGGGGGAUAACGUCCGGAAACGGGCGCUAAUACCGCAUACGUCCUGAGGGAGCAAGUGGGGGGUCUUCGGACCUCACGCUAUCAGAUGAGCCUAGGUCGGAUUAGCUAGUUGGUGGGGUAAAGGCCUACUAAGGCGACGAUCCGUAACUGGUCUGAGAGGAUGAUCAGUCACACUGGAGCGGAGACACGGUCCAGACUACUACGGGAGGCAGCAGUGGGGAAUAUUGGACAGUGGGCGAAAGCCUGAUCCAGCCAUGCCGCGUGUGUGAAGAAGGUCUUCGGAUUGUAAAGCACUUUAAGUUGGGAGGAAGGGCAGUAAGUUAAUACCUUGCUGUUUUGACGUUACCAACAGAAUAAGCACCGGCUAACUUCGUG
rnacentral:rRNA from 1 species